rnacentral:rRNA from 1 species
AUUGAACGCUGGCGGCAGGCUUAACACAUGCAAGUCGAACGGUAACAGGAGAAAGCUUGCUUUCUUGCUGACGAGUGGCGGACGGGUGAGUAAUGCUUGGGAAUCUGGCUUAUGGAGGGGGAUAACGACGGGAAACUGUCGCUAAUACCGCGUAGAGUCGGGAGACGAAAGUGCGGGACCGCAAGGCCGCAUGCCAUGAGAUGAGCCCAAGUGGGAUUAGGUAGUUGGUGGGGUAAAGGCCUACCAAGCCAACGAUCUCUAGCUGGUCUGAGAGGAUGACCAGCCACACCGGGACUGAGACACGGCCCGGACUCCUACGGGAGGCAGCAGUGGGGAAUAUUGCGCAAUGGGGGCAACCCUGACGCAGCCAUGCCGCGUGAAUGAAGAAGGCCUUCGGGUUGUAAAGUUCUUUCGGUGACGAGGAAGGCGUGAUGUUUAAUAGGCAUCACGAUUGACGUUAAUCACAGAAGAAGCACCGGCUAACUCCGUGCCAGCAGCCGCGGUAAUACGGAGGGUGCGAGCGUUAAUCGGAAUAACUGGGCGUAAAGGGCACGCAGGCGGCUAUUUAAGUGAGGUGUGAAAUCCCCGGGCUUAACCUGGGAAUUGCAUUUCAGACUGGGUAGCUAGAGUACUUUAGGGAGGGGUAGAAUUCCACGUGUAGCGGUGAAAUGCGUAGAGAUGUGGAGGAAUACCGAAGGCGAAGGCAGCCCCUUGGGAAUGUACUGACGCUCAUGUGCGAAAGCGUGGGGAGCAAACAGG